AUUUUCCUCAGAUCUGGUAUUUCGUUAUUUCUCUCGCGUCAUCGCGCUUCUCUCUCUGAGCAUCAUCGCCGUCUUCAAGUAUCACCGCCGCUUCUUUAUCAGGAUCCUCUUCUGAAGCCUGCACCAAAGAAGCAGAGUGAGUCUUCAUCAAAGUAGAUCUGUUUCGUUUGCUUGGGUUUGAUAGGAUGACUUUGGAAAGGUUGAAGAUUGAAAAUUUGUAAUAUUGAAGAAGAAAUGAAUUCUUUCUAAUGUAUUAGAUAGAUUUUUUGUUAUUAUUUAUUUAAGUAAGGUUGUAAAUUAUUCACAGAUUUUGAUUUAUAUUGUAAUUACUUUUAUUACAUAUAAUAAUAAUUAUGAUUUUUCCUCUAAA